AAGUCGUAACAAGGUUUCCGUAGGUGAACCUGCGGAAGGAUCAUUAACAAAAUAUCUUGGCCAGCGGCUCGCCGCCACGCCAAUCCACCUUGUGGGAUGGCGCAACAACCGCAGUGCAAGCUGUGGGCGCCAGCAGGUUCCGUUUGGGAGCUGCCUUGCCGGUCCUAGGGCCAGCAAGUCCCUGGAGGGAUAGUGUUCUGCAAUGCUCGUCAUUCGGAAUGCUCGUGCUUGUGUUUGUGCUCGUGCUCGUGUUCUAGCAAUAGACACGCACACACACACACACACACAAAAUAUAUUAAAGUCUAAUAACAUGUCGAAAGACAACCAUUACAACUUUUAACAAUGGAUCUCUAGGCUCUU
rnacentral:misc_RNA from 1 species